rnacentral:tRNA from 1 species
GCGGACGUGGUGGAAUUUGGCAGACACGCAGGACUUAGGAUCCUGUCCGUUAAGGGUGGGAGUUCAACUCUCCCCGUCCGCA